rnacentral:lncRNA from 1 species
CCCGCUUCCCGCAUCCGGAAAUGUAAUCGUGUCCAUUUCCCGCACCGUAUUGUUUUGUAAAUAUUAUAAACAGAUAUUUGCACUUGUUUUAUAAUCACAAUCUAACAAGUAUUUAUAACGAUUUAAACAUAUAAGCACCCAAGUACACUGUGUCAAUGUCUGUGAUAAUAUUUGAUUCAGCAUGAAACCCAUUUAUCCCAAAUGGGAG